UGACUAUGCACACGCAUGUACACACACACACACACACAGUAAGGACCGGGACUCCUUUUAAAUCGCAACAAACUGUGGUUCUAAUAUAAAGUAAAACCUAGGCAAACAAAAACCAGGGAUCUAGGCAUGGGCAGAUGGGUCUUUGUAACCAGGCAACAGGACAGAUGAAAGAACUGUGACGCGAGAAGUUCCACCUGCGUCAUUCUGAGCAUCUACCAGACGUGUGGUCCCAGCCGAGGCACCGGGACCAACUCCAGGCCGGCUCUGCCCUCGGGGCCUUAACUGUCCAGCGCAUCCUAGGAAUGCAAUGCCCAAGGUGCUGGUCUGACAGGAGAGCCUUGAGCCCCAGGGACUCGGGGGGGCUGAGUGGAGAAUGGGUAGCACCAGGGAUUCUGAGCCGAGAGAAGAGCAGGCAGACACCCGACAGAAAGGAAGACAAUGAUCUUCAAUGUUUUCUUUUGGUGUGUAUUCCCACCAUUUCUAAACGAAGCUUACACUGCUCAGCAGUUUCCCAGUUUGAGGCAUUAACUCUGGAUUCCCACAAGACAAGGAAACAGAACAGUUACAUUAAAGUAACUUGCUCAAGAUCAUAUGUAACAAGGGAAAGAAUGAGGAUUCAAGCGUGACUCUUGAAUGCAGGCUGUUAAUGUUCCAUCACACUGCAGUGCGUCCAACAGCAUCAGUUAAGGAAAAGACUGGCACAACCAUUAGACAGUACCAUGUGGCCACAGAAAUGAUUUCAGGUUAAGGACAUAAAUUAAUGCUUUGGGUAAGUGGGAAAAAAACCAAAAUAAAAUACAUCAUGUGGUCAAAUAUGUAAAAGCCAAAACAAAGGAAAAA